rnacentral:rRNA from 1 species
AGCGAACGCUGGCGGCGUGCUUAACACAUGCAAGUCGAACGUGAAAUGUAGCAAUACAGAGUAAAGUGGCGUACGGGUGAGUAACACGUGGGUAAUCUACCAAAGUGUCUGGAAUAACCGAUCGAAAGGUUGGCUAAUACUGGAUAGUUCAAGCUUGUUAUAAUGGCAAGAUUGGGAAAGGGAGCUGGCAACAGCCUUCGCAUUUUGAUGAGCUCGCGUCUGAUUAGCUAGUUGGUAAGGUAAUGGCUUACCAAGGCUGAGAUCAGUAGCUGGUCUGAGAGGAUGAUCAGCCACACUGGAACUGAAACACGGUCCAGACUCCUACGGGAGGCAGCAGUGGGAAUCUUGCGCAAGUGGAACGAAAGUCUGACGCAGCCACGCCGCGUGAGU